AAGCGACCAGCCCUGCGACGGGACACAUGACGUCUGUUUAUUUGUGGAUUUUGAAUAGAUUUAAGCUCCAGGAUUGUCGUGAAGAUAGUAUGCAAUGGUUCAAGUAGUCUUUAAUGCUGCAGCGUUGUUUUGUAUUUUAAAUAUACGAGAUUUGUCAACUCUCUAAGGAUAUAAGGAUAUGAACGCGCCUCUCAAUAGCUCCAUGGAAAUGGUAGAGUUAACCAUGACAGCAUGUAUACAAGCUGAAAACACAGUCACAAGAUGUCACAGGGACGGAUAGCCGAUCAUACAGACACCAUGAGCAGAAGUGGAGAGAGACAGCGGCAAAUGGUCCCCACCACAGGGCUCAGUCUAUGUCUCAGAUAAACAUCUCCAUGACAAAAAACGGUCUCCACAUAUUCCUUGCCAUAGCUCGUCUGUAACCUCCACAUUAAGGUGUUGCUUGUGACAUGUGCUUGCUAUGGUAAACUGGUUAUUGAAGCUAUGGCGAGUUUUGUGAAACCUGAGGUAUGCAACAAAGGAAAUACAGGAAGCCUUCCAGAAUGACUACUUAUGUUGAUGGUCACAGGAUAAGUAUGUAAAAAGGUAUACUGCAGACUCAAAUUAAUGUAUGUGGUGAUGGACUAGAGCAAGGUCUAAAGAAUAGCAUGUAAUGCAUGUCUGCGUCUUCCAGAACAUUUACAUGCAAUACUUCAGUGUCUACUGGAAUUCAAGUGUUCCUAUAUGCAUUUAUUUUCGAUAAAUAAAAUGUACCUUCUAAAACUUGUCUGUA